AACUUUCAACAACGGAUCUCUUGGCUCUCGCAUCGAUGAAGAACGCAGCGAAAUGUGAUAAGUAAUGUGAAUUGCAGAAUUCAGUGAAUCAUCGAAUCUUUGAACGCACCUUGCGCUCUCUGGUAUUCCGGAGAGCAUGUCUGUUUGAGUGUCA
rnacentral:rRNA from 1 species